rfam:Aedes aegypti strain Liverpool supercont1.83 genomic scaffold, whole genome shotgun sequence.
CAAACGGCUCUUUUCUGAGCCACCAAUCAAUAACACAAUAGAGUUAG